rnacentral:tRNA from 1 species
GGGCUUGUAGCUCAGUGGACUAGAGCACAUCGCUACGGACGAUGGAGUCGGGGGUUCGAAUCCCUCCUGGCCCG